UGGUGUAUUGGACACCCGGCUUGACGGGUAACGGAGGAUUAUGGUUCGAUUCCGGAGAGGGAGCCUGAAAAACGGCUACCACAUCUAAGGAAGGCAGCAGGCGCGUAAAUUACCCAAUCCUGACUCAGGGAGGUAGUGACGAGAAAUAACAACUCUGUACCUACGUAUAGAGGUUGCAAUGAGGACAAUUUAAAUCCCUUAGCGAGGAACAAUUGGAGGGCAAGUUCUGGUGCCAGCAGCCGCGGUAAUUCCAGCUCCAAUAGCGUAUAUAAAAGUUGUUGCAGUUAAAAAGCUAGUAGUUGAACUUCUGACCGGUCUGGCAUGGCCUUCGGUUGUGUUUAGAUUUGGUCAUCCACCUGAGAACUAUACUCGUCCUUCACUGGGCGGUGUGGGUAUCAGGUACUUUACUGUGAAAAAAUUAUAGUGUUUCAGGCAGGCCAUUGCCGGAAUACAUUAUCAUGGAAUAAUAGAAUAGGACUUUGGUCCAUUUUAUUGGUUAUUGGGUCAAAGUAAUGAUUAACAGGGACAGUUGGGGGCAUUAGUAUUUAAUUGUCAGAGGUGAAAUUCUUGGAUUUAUUAAAGACUAACUUAGGCGAAAGCAUUUGCCAAGGAUGUUUUCAUUAAUCAAGAACGAAAGUUAGGGGAUCAAAGACGAUC
rnacentral:rRNA from 1 species